CCUACGGGGGGCAGCAGUGGGGAAUAUUGGACAAUGGGCGAAAGCCUGAUCCAGCCAUGCCGCGUGUGUGAAGAAGGCCUUCGGGUUGUAAAGCACUUUCAGUGGGGAAGAAAGCCUUGGGGCUAAUACCCUCGAGGAAGGACAUCACCCACAGAAGAAGCACCGGCUAACUCCGUGCCAGCAGCCGCGGUAAUACGGAGGGUGCGAGCGUUAAUCGGAAUUACUGGGCGAAAGCGCGCGUAGGCGGUCUGAUAAGCCGGUUGUGAAAGCCCCGGGCUCAACCUGGGAACGGCAUCCGGAACUGUCAGGCUAGAGUGCAGGAGAGGAAGGUAGAAUUCCCGGUGUAGCGGUGAAAUGCGUAGAGAUCGGGAGGAAUCCCAGUGGCGAAGGCGGCCUUCUGGACUGACACUGACGCUGAGGUGCGAAAGCGUGGGUAGCAAACAGGAUUAGAUACCCCUGUAGUC
rnacentral:rRNA from 1 species